rnacentral:rRNA from 1 species
AGAGGUACCGUCAUCACGCCGGCUAUUAACCGGCGCUUAUUCGUCCCCCUCCACAGAGCUUUACAACCCUAGGGCCUUCAUCACUCACGCGGCGUCGCUGCGUCAGGCUUUCGCCCAUUGCGCAAGAUUCCCU